CGAGAUAUCUGGUUGAUCCUGCCUGAACUGAUGUGUUCAUUUCAAAGAUUAAGCCAUGCAUAUAUAUUAAUCGUUUUAACGAGAAACCGCGAACGGCUCAUUACAAUGGCCAUGAUUUACUUGAUCUUGAUUAUCUAAAUGGAUAACUGUGGAAAAGCUAGAGCUAAUACAUGCACCAAAGCUUUGUCCUCUCGGAAAAGCGCAUUUAUUAGAACAAAACCACGCGGCUUCGGCUGCUUCUUGUUGACUCAGAAUAACUAAGCUGACCGCAUGGCCUUGUGCCGGCGGCGUGUCUUUCAAGCGUCCACUUUAUCAACUUGACGGGAGCAUAAUCGACUCCCGUGGUGGUGACGGAUAACGGAGGAUCAGGGUUCGACUCCGGAGAAGGGGCCUGAGAAAUGGCCACUACGUCUAAGGAUGGCAGCAGGCGCGCAAAUUACCCACUCUCGGCUCGAGGAGGUAGUGACGAGAAAUAACGAGAUCGUUCUCUUUGAGGCCGGUCAUCGGAAUGGGUACAAUUUAAACCCUUUAACGAGUAUCAAGCAGAGGGCAAGUCUGGUGCCAGCAGCCGCGGUAAUUCCAGCUCUGCUAAUACAUAGAAUUAUUGCUGCGGUUAAAAAGCUCGUAGUUGGAUUCGUAUCGGUACCCUGGAACCCUCCGGGUGUUUCUGGGUGUUAUCGAUUUAUCGUAAUGUUCGGUUUUGAGUCCUUAACAGGAUUCUUAACAGGCAUUGCAAGUUUACUUUGAACAAAUCAGAGUGCUUCAAACAGGCGUUUUCGCUUGAAUGAUCGUGCAUGGAAUAAUAGAAAACGAUUUCGGUUCAGUUUUAUUGGUUUUACGGACUGAGAUAAUGGUUAACAGAGACAAACGGGGGCAUUUGUAUGGCCCCGUGAGAGGUGAAAUUCUUGGACCGUGGCCAGACAAACUACAGCGAAAGCAUUUGCCAAGAAUGUCUUCAUUAAUCAAGAACGAAAGUCAGAGGUUCGAAGGCGAUCAGAUACCGCCCUAGUUCUGACCGUAAACGAUGCCAACUAGCGAUCCGCCGAUGGAAAUUAUAUUGCCUUGGUGGGGAGCUUCCCGGAAACGAAAGUCUUCCGGUUCCGGGGGAAGUAUGGUUGCAAAGCUGAAACUUAAAGGAAUUGACGGAAGGGCACCACCAGGAGUGGAGCCUGCGGCUUAAUUUGACUCAACACGGGGAAACUCACCCGGCCCGGACACUGUGAGGAUUGACAGAUUGAUAGCUUUUUCAUGAUUCAGUGGAUGGUGGUGCAUGGCCGUUCUUAGUUCGUGGAGUGAUUUGUCUGGUUUAUUCCGAUAACGAGCGAGACUCUAACCUACUAAAUAGCUGGUACAUAAUUUAAGUGUAUACAGCUUCUUAGAGGGAUUUGCGGUGUUCAGCCGAAAGAAAUUGAGCAAUAACAGGUCUGUGAUGCCCUUAGAUGUCCGGGGCUGCACGCGCGCUACACUGGCAAAAUCAACGUGCUUGUCCUACCCCGAAAGGGGCGGGUAAACCAUUGAAAAUUUGCCGUGAUUGGGAUCGGAAAUUGCAAUUAUUUUCCGUGAACGAGGAAUUCCAAGUAAGUGCGAGUCAUCAGCUCGCGUUGAUUACGUCCCUGCCCUUUGUACACACCGCCCGUCGCUGCCCGGGACUGAGCCAUUUCGAGAAAUUUGGGGACCGUUGAUUUAAUUUUUCUAAAUUACUUUGAUGGAAACCAAUUUAAUCGCAGUGGCUUGAACCGGGCAAAAGUCGUAACAAGGUAGCUGUAGGUGAACCUGCUGCUGGAUCAUUACUUUA
rnacentral:rRNA from 1 species